rnacentral:rRNA from 1 species
UUGUCAAAAGGGAAACAGCCCAGAUCUACAGCUAAGGUCCCCAAGUACAGGUUAAGUGGAAAAGGAUGUGACGAUGCAAAGACAACCAGGAUGUUGGCUCAGAAGCAGCCACGCAUUAAAAGAGUGCGUAAUAGCUCACUGGUCGAGUGACGUUGCGCCGAAAAUUAACGGGGCUCAAACCUGACACCGAAGCUUAGGAAUACCGUAGGGUAUUGGUAGAGGAGCAAUGUAUACGAGCAGAAGCCGUACCGGAAGGAGCGGUGGAUUGUAUAGAAGAGAGAAUGCCGGCAUAAGUAGCGAGAGCGGAGCGAGAAACUCCGCCGUCGAAAGUCUGAGGUUUUCCGGGGAAGGUUCGUCCGCCCGGAGAUAGUCGGGACCUAAGCGGAGGCCGAAAGGCGUACGUGAUGGACAGCAGGUUGAUAUUCCUGCACUACCGAGAGAGUAAAUGAAGCAAUGACACGGAAAGAUAGAAGAAGCGCGCGGAUGGAAAAGCGCGUCCAAGCGUCGAGGGUGGCUUGUAGUGAAGUACGCAAGUCGAAAGCCUGAGGCGUGACGGGGAGUGGACCAAGGAAACGAAGUCUUUGAAUCUACGCCGGCGAGAAAAGUUGCUAAAUGUUUCGAGGUACCCGUACCGCAAACCGACACAGGUAGACGAGAAGAAAAUUCUAAGACGAACGGGAGAACCCUUGUUAAGGAACUCGGCAAAACGACCCCGUAACUUCGGGAGAAGGGGAGCCAUCGAGAGAUGGCCGCAGUGAAGAGGCCCAAGCGACUGUUUAUCAAAAACACAGGUUUCUGCUAAGGCGAAAGCCAAGGUAUAGGAGCUGACUCCUGCCCAGUGCCGGAAGGUCAAGGGGACUUGUUAGCAGCAAUGCGAAGCAACGAACUUAAGCCCCGGUGAACGGCGGCCGUAACUAUAACGGUCCUAAGGUAGCGAAAUUCCUUGUCGGGUAAGUUCCGACCCGCACGAAUGGAGUAACGAUUUGGGCGCUGUCUCAACAGGGGACCCGGCGAAAUUGUAGUAUACGUGAAGAUGCGUAUUAACCCGCGACUGGACGGAAAGACCCCGUAGAGCUUUACUGUAACUUGAUAUUGAAUCUCGGCAACUGAUGCACAGAAUAGGUGGGAGACUGAGAAGCCAUGUUUUCGGGCGUGGCGGAGUCAACUUUGGGAUACCACUCUUCGGUUGCUGCGAUUCUAACCGGAUACCGUGAAACCGGAUUCGGAACAUUGUCAGGUGGGCAGUUUGACUGGGGCGGUCGCCUCCUAAAAUGUAACGGAGGCGCUCAAAGGUUCCCUCAGAAUGGUUGGAAAUCAUUCGACGAGUGUAAAGGUAUAAGGGAGCUUGACUGUGAGACAGACAUGUCGAACAGGUGCGAAAGCAGGACUUAGUGAUCAGGUGGUAUGAGAAUGGAAUUGCCAUCGCUUAACGGAUAAAAGUUACCUCGGGGAUAACAGGCUUAUCUCCCCCAAGAGUUCACAUCGACGGGGAGGUUUGGCACCUCGAUGUCGGCUCGUCACAUCCUGGGGCUGAAGCAGGUCCCAAGGGUUCGGCUGUUCGCCGAUUAAAGUGGCACGCGAGCUGGGUUCAAAACGUCGUGAGACAGUUUGGUCCCUAUCCAUCGUGGGCGUAGGAUAUUUGAGAGGGUUUGUCCUUAGUACGAGAGGACCGGGAUGAACGCACCUACCGUGCAUCUGUUGUCGCGCCAGCGGCAUAGCAGAGUAGCGGUGUGCGGUUGAGAUAAACGCUGAAAGCAUCUAAGCGUGAAACUCGCCUC